rnacentral:misc_RNA from 1 species
GAUGAAGAACGCAGCGAAAUGCGAUAAGUAAUGUGAAUUGCAGAAUUCAGUGAAUCAUCGAAUCUUUGAACGCACAUUGCGACCGCCAGUAUUCUGGCGGGCAUGCCUGUCUGAGCGUCAUUUCAACCCUCAUGCCCCUAGGGCGUGGUGUUGGGGAUCGGCCAAAGCCCGCGAGGGACGGCCGGCCCCUAAAUCUAGUGGCGGACCCGUCGUGGCCUCCUCUGCGAAGUAGUGAUAUUCCGCAUCGGAGAGCGACGAGCCCCUGCCGUUAAACCCCCAACUUUCCAAGGUUGACCUCAGAUCAGGUAGGAAUACCCGCUGAACUUAAGCAUAUCAAUAAGCGGAGGA